rnacentral:rRNA from 1 species
GAUGAACGCUAGAUACAGGCUUAACACAUGCAAGUCGAGGGGAAACGGCAUUGAGUGCUUGCACUCUUUGGACGUCGACCGGCGCACGGGUGAGUAACGCGUAUCCAACCUUCCCAUUACUGUGGGAUAACCUGCCGAAAGGCAGACUAAUACCGCAUAGUCUUCGAUGACGGCAUCAGAUUUGAAGUAAAGAUUUAUCGGUAAUGGAUGGGGAUGCGUCUGAUUAGCUUGUUGGCGGGGUAACGGCCCACCAAGGCUACGAUCAGUAGGGGUUCUGAGAGGAAGGUCCCCCACAUUGGAACUGAGACACGGUCCAAACUCCUACGGGAGGCAGCAGUGAGGAAUAUUGGUCAAUGGACGGAAGUCUGAACCAGCCAAGUAGCGUGCAGGAUGACGGCCCUAUGGGUUGUAAACUGCUUUUGUAUGGGGAUAAAGUUAGGGACGUGUCCCUAUUUGCAGGUACCAUACGAAUAAGGACCGGCUAAUUCCGUG